UGGAGAUGAGGAGGUCAAACUGAGGGGCCUUUGUGUUGGAGGAAUUGCCCAUAUAAUGUACUGAAGUCACUGAGGAUGAUGGUGGACCUUCAGGAGAGAGGAGGAUCAUGGGCUAAAGAUUAAAGUCUUCACGACUGCAUGGUGGAAAUACAGUAUUAUAUAAUGACAUGCUACUAUGCAUCUCUACCUAACUCCUCGUCUGGUGAUGCCAUAUUGAAAUCAGCCAUACUGAGAGUAUUUACACACUGGUGAAGUCAGUAAAUGCUACAAAUCAAGGCCUGAAUGUAACCUACAUGAGAAAGAGUUGCCUUGCUCACUGCCGUAUCCCAGUAUCCCAAGCACCUUGGAGAUGCUCUAUGAAUACUGAAUGAAUCUGAGAGGAAACUAGCCCAUGGGGGAAGGCUCUGGAAGCAAGCCCUCAUGGACCAAUGGAGAAAAAGGAAACUGAAUCUUGGGGAGAUUAAGCAACUCUUUCAAGGUCAACCAGUGAGUGGCAGAAUCAGGGUUUGAAGGAAACCUUUAUGAAUCUGAUGUCUGCCCCUUCUAAAUUAGGACUCUCAUCUAUCAGCCUGUGAGAAAAAAUACAGAAAGCAUCAUUCAGGCAACACAUGAACUCAAGACACUGAGACUUCACUAACCUUCCUCGCACACAAGGUCCUAAAGGAACUACACAUGCAUGUCCACAUUUGAUGCACAUAACAGACUCUUACCGCAUCGAAAUAAACCCCAGUAUGAUCAUAA
rnacentral:antisense_RNA from 1 species